UACAGAGACUGCAAGCGUUAUUCGGAUUCACUGGGCGUAAAGGGUGCGCAGGCGGCCGUGUGUAUCAGGUGUGAAAUCCCGGAGCUUAACUCCGGAACUGCGCCUGAAACUACAUGGCUAGAGUAUUGGAGAGGGUAACGGAAUUCACGGUGUAGCAGUGAAAUGCGUAGAUAUCGUGAGGAACACCAGAGGCGAAGGCGGUUACCUGGACAAUUACUGACGCUCAGGCACGAAAGCAUGGGGAGCAAAAGGG
rnacentral:rRNA from 1 species